AAGACUAUACUUUCAGGGAUCAUUUCUAUAGUUUCCAACUAGAGAAGUGCAUUUGAAAGUGAUCGGUCUCGCCAACCACGAGGAGGAGGCGGAAUGUUCUCUCCUGAGCGUGAAGCCGGCGGGCGGUGCUCAUUUGCUUGAGCUGCUGCCUCGUCCUUGAUGAUCGUUCUGCCUUCUUUUCAAGAGGGUUGGAGGGAGAGAACAUAUUCUGAGUGGU